UACAGAGGUCCCGAGCGUUGUUCGGAUUCACUGGGCGUAAAGGGUGCGUAGGUGGCUUGGAAAGUUUGAUGUGAAAGCUCAGGGCUUAACCCUGAAAUGGCAUUGAAUACUGCUGAGCUGGAGGUUUGGAGGGGGGACUGGAAUUCUUGGUGUAGCAGUGAAAUGCGCAGAUAUCAGGAGGAACACCGAUGGCGAAGGCAGUGGUCUGGGCCGAUACUGACGCUGAGGAGCGAAAGCGUGGGGAGCGAACAGG
rnacentral:rRNA from 1 species